AUGAACGCUGGCGGCGUGCCUAAUACAUGCAAGUCGAGCGAACAGACGAGGAGCUUGCUCCUCUGACGUUAGCGGCGGACGGGUGAGUAACACGUGGAUAACCUACCUAUAAGACUGGGAUAACUUCGGGAAACCGGAGCUAAUACCGGAUAAUAUAUUGAACCGCAUGGUUCAAUAGUGAAAGACGGUUUUGCUGUCACUUACAGAUGGAUCCGCGCCGCAUUAGCUAGUUGGUAAGGUAACGGCUUACCAAGGCAACGAUGCGUAGCCGACCUGAGAGGGUGAUCGGCCACACUGGAACUGGGACACGGUCCAGACUCCUACGGGAGGCAGCAGUAGGGAAUCUUCCGCAAUGGGCGAAAGCCUGACGGAGCAACGCCGCGUGAGUGAUGAAGGUCUUCGGAUCGUAAAACUCUGUUAUUAGGGAAGAACAAAUGUGUAAGUAACUAUGCACGUCUUGACGGUACCUAAUCAGAAAGCCACGGCUAACUACGUG
rnacentral:rRNA from 1 species